UCUCCGGUGGCCUAGUGGUUAGAGCAUCCGCAUCGGAUGCGGGAGGUCGUGGGUUCGAAUUCCGGCCGAAUCA